GACGGAGGAUGCAAGUGUUAUCCGGAAUCACUGGGCGUAAAGCGUCUGUAGGUGGUUUAAUAAGUCAACUGUUAAAUCUUGAGGCUCAACCUCAAAAUCGCAGUCGAAACUAUUAGGCUAGAGUAUAGUAGGGGUAAAGGGAAUUUCCAGUGGGGCGGUGAAAUGCGUAGAGAUUGGAAAGAACACCGAUGGCGAAGGCACUUUACUGGGCUAUUACUAACACUCAGAGACGAAAGCUAGGGUAGCAAAUGGG
rnacentral:rRNA from 1 species